GAUGAAGAACGUAGCGAAAUGCGAAACUUGGUGUGAAUUGCAGAAUCCCGUGAACCAUCGAGUCUUUGAACGCAAGUUGCGCCCGAAGCCAUUAGGCCGAGGGCACGCCUGCCUGGGCGUCACACGUCGUUGCCCCCCCAUCUACUCCUUCGGGAUUGCGGGGGGCGGAUGAUGGCCUCCCGUGCGCCUCGCCGCGCGGUUGGCAUAAAUGCCAAGUCCUCGGCGACGCACGCCACGACAAUCGGUGGUUGCGAAACCUCGGUUGCCCGUCGUGUGCGGUCGUCGCGCAUCGAGGGCUCGAAAAAAUUGCCGGGUUCCGGCUCGGCUUUCAACGCGACCCCAGGUCAGGCGGGGUUACCCGCUGAAUUUAAGCAUAUCAAUAAGCGGAGGA
rnacentral:misc_RNA from 1 species